UCUCCGUUGGUGAACCAGCGGAGGGAUCAUUACAGGACUUGCAAGACUCCCGUAACCACUGUGAACCUACCUAUACUCGUUGCCUCGGCGGGUGCUCCGGCUCGCUCCGGAGCGCUACGCCCGCCGGUGGCCCAACUAAACUCUUGUAUUAUUUGUUAUCUGAGAGUUAUUUUUAAAAUAAGUCAAAACUUUCAACAACGGAUCUCUUGGUUCUGGCAUCGAUGAAGAACGCAGC
rnacentral:misc_RNA from 1 species